AUACUUACCUGGCAGGGGAGAUACUAUGAUCAAGGGCGAGGGUUAUCCAUUGCACACCGGAUGUGCUGACUCCUGCAAUUUCCCCAAAUGCGGGAAACUCGACUGCAUAAUUUGUGGUAGUGGGGACUGUGUUCACGCUCUCCCCUG
ensembl:snRNA U1 U1 spliceosomal RNA